rnacentral:rRNA from 1 species
AGCUGGUCUUUUCAGGCAAGUGCUCGCCUCGUUCAAAUCCACUCUACACCUGGGCACUAAUUGUGGACUUUGGUAUUCUUGGAGGGUCCUUUGGCCCUUUAUAAAUCCGGGUUCAUGUUUUAUUAUAUAUACGCUUCAGUAUUGAGAAUGUGUAUUGUGAUGUAACACAUCGUUAUACAACUUUCAGCAACGGAUCUCUUGGCUCUCGCAUCGAUGAAGAACGCAGCGAAAUGCGAUAAGUAAUGUGAAUUGCAGAAUUCAGUGAAUCAUCGAAUCUUUGAACGCACCUUGCGCUCCUUGGUAUUCCGAGGAGCACACCUGUUUGAGUGUCAUAAAAUUCUCAACCUUACAAACUUUUGUGUUUGAUUUGGCUUGGAGUUGGAGGCUUGCUAAUGGGAAAUUCCUUUGGCUCCUCUCAAAUGCAUUAGCUUGGUUCCUUGCGGAUUGGCUCCUGGUGUGAUAAAUGUUUACGCCGCAGCUGUUGAAGCAUUUUGGGCAAGCUCCUAACUGUCUCAAUAUUGAGAGACAGCUUUUUGAACAUGACAUCUGACCUCAAAUCAGGUGGGACUACCCGCUGAACUUAAGCAUAUCAAUAAGCG